GGGGAGGGUGGGUAGAAUCUUUAUCUUUGCAAUUAUAGAGAUUAUUCUAAAUACACCAGAAUGAUCAAAAUUAAAAAUACAAAUAAGAAGUUAAAAAAAAAAAAGACAUGGUUCACUUUUACUAGUCAACAGAUAGUGACGCUGAAAGUACUGAAGAGUUUCUAGUUUUUAAAGCCCAGAGUAAGAAAAAGAAGCAAAGGGGAAAUGUGGGUGGGGUGGGGGAUGG
rnacentral:lncRNA from 1 species